UACGUAGGGGGCUAGCGUUGUCCGGAAUCAUUGGGCGUAAAGCGCGUGUAGGCGGCCCGGUAAGUCCGCUGUGAAAGUCGGGGGCUCAACCCUCGGAUGCCGGUGGAUACUGUCGGGCUCGAGUACGGAAGAGGCGAGUGGAAUUCCUGGUGUAGCGGUGAAAUGCGCAGAGAUCGGAAAGAACACCAACGGCGAAAGCACUCUGCUGGGCCGACACUGACACUGAGAGACGAAAGCUAGGGGAGCAAAUGGG
rnacentral:rRNA from 1 species